AUUGAACGCUGGCGGCAGGCCUAACACAUGCAAGUCGAACGAGCGGCGGACGGGUGAGUAAUGUCUGGGAAUCUGCCCGCUGGAGGGGGAUAACUCCUGGAAACGGUAGCUAAUACCGCAUACCAUCGGAUGUGCCCAGAUGGGAUUAGCUAGUAGGUGGGGUAACGGCUCACCUAGGCGACGAUCCCUAGCUGGUCUGAGAGGAGGAUCAGCCACACUGGGACUGAGACACGGUCCAGACUCCUACGGGAGGCAGCAGUGGGGAAUAUUGCACAAUGGGCGAAAGCCUGAUGCAGCCAUGCCGCGUGGAUGAAGAAGGCCUUCGGGUUGUAAAGUACUUUCAGCGAGGAGGCGUUACCCGCAGAAGAAGCACCGGCUAACUCCGUGCCAGCAGCCGCGGUAAUAC
rnacentral:rRNA from 1 species